UAUAUACAGCCCACGCGAGUUGUUUGUCUUCAAACAGAAAUUAAAGGGACAAAGUUGUUACCUUAAACACAAACUGCAGGGGAGAAAGCUGCUCUGAUCAAUACGUGUGGCGUGAAACUUGCGGUUGAAGUUUGAGUUAAAAGUUAUAACAGUGUGUGGGAUGCGUUCACGGGCCUCAAAUCCGGUUGAGAGCUCAGUCAGUGUAGAAUAAUAGCAGAAGAGGAUUCAAAGUGUGGAAUGGGACUACUUGGAAAAAAAUGAAUGACAAUUCAUUUUUUUUUCACGGAAGUGGGGAUUGUGUUUAAUAUUUAUUUAAAUCGAUGCCUCCUUGUGAAACAAUAUGCCUUCGUUACACAGCUUUGAGUUCAAUGACUAAACUGCGUUCUUUCUUGUACCCAUCAGGUCGUGUUAUCAGUUAAGGUUAAAAGAUCUGACAACGUCCACUGAAUCAAUAUCCACAUUAUAAGGAAAAUCCACUUCAACGCCUUGCAGAGAUUUAGCGGAAAGCAUUAAUCCCUGCAUCCACAGUACAACCUGUAAGGUGCAUAUUUGGCAAAUAGCGCCGCCUCGGGAGGCCCAGAGACUCGGCUUCGGGAUCAAACUGAACUCCUUCAACAGCUCACCAACAUCGAGACUGCGGAAAGAAGCCCGCUGAUCCGCAACAAAAUUCCUUGACUAACUUUGUCCCAAUUUCAACCACCAUCCACCCCAACCAAGAAAUCUAUACACGGACUAACUGCAUCGCAUUCACAUUCGCAAAUGUUUCCCUUACGUUACCUGCCGGGUGAAUAGGGCUUCUCAUCUCCUCAGCGCGCACUCAUCAAUUAAUAUCCAGACCGUCAACUUACUGUUGGCAGAUUGACACGAAUUAACUGCAUGUCUCAAAGUUUCUUUGCACAUGAUGUCGCUUCCAUCGUGUUCACAUUGCUGAGGCGGCGGGAUCAAUACGCGCACCGCAAUGGUCUGGGAACGCGUGGAAUCAGGACUUGUUUACAAUCUGCAACUUUACCCCUCACUUUCCCAUUGCCAGGUUAAACACUUUCUAGAAACUAGAUGUUGACAUAGCGCAGGAUAGAUCGCAAGGCGUUAUGGCGCUGAAGUUUUGAAGACACGCAGUGCUCACAGCAGCUUUAGUCUGACAGGAAAACUACAAAGAUCCCCCAAUGUACCCGGGCACUGUCUCAGGGCUAAGGGAGCUGUUCUGACACCGCUCUCUGAUCUGGUACCUUCUACAAAACAAAAACACAAGGUUCAAACAAUCUCCAAUACUGUUUUACGCGCGUCUAAAUAUAAAGGACAUUCGGAAAAUAUUUCCGUGAGUCGAACGCUUAAGGUGCAUGCAUUUCAUAACCAAUCCGCUACUGUCACUUUCCUGGGGACCUGAACCUUAUUCAUGAACAGGAUGGUUUGAGGGAAACCUACUUUGCAAAAAUUAAACAACCGCGAGCUCCGGGAAUAUGUCAUUCCCGGAGUCCCAACUUUUUUGUGUGUGUCUCCUUUCCCAGCUUCAGGAAGUUUCACUGCAUUGCGCGAAUCCUCAAACUCCCCGAUCCCAAGAAAAAAAACAGAGGUGGAAAUUGUCCGGACAAGGAUCGAUCGCAUUCUUUAAAGUAUUGUAACAGGGUUUAAUGAAAAAGCACUUCGUUUUAAUUAAUUCUGAUACCUUUUUGUAAGCGGUGGGACAUUGAUGUCAUAUUUAAUAUGUUGAAUCCAGAUGUCGUACCUAGGGUGGAACACUCACUGACGGUGUGGGGCUGACUGCAACCCAGAGAGAAAAUGUGCAAAAAGUGCUGAGAGUUGCCUGUUGUACUCCAACUGCAAAACACGGAUUUAAAUCCGAUUUCUUCUAAACUCACCAAAUAUACAUAUAUAUAUUUGCAAAUUUGAAUCAUUGAAAAUUCUAAUAUAGCAAACAAUUAACAGAAUUGACUUGCAUAUAUAAUUUUUUUCAAAAUAAAAUCAGUGUUACCGUUUACGUUUCCACGUGAUAUACUUUCAAAAAGCACUCAUAUAAAUAUUCGAAAAUAAUGUCAUAUCUAAAACGAUCAUCUUAACAGACUGUCCACCCUCAUCGCGUGCCUCCCACUAUAGAUGCAGCAGCACAGUGCACAGGAGGAACUAUUUCCAUUAAAAUUUGGUAUAUUUUCAUACUAAUAGAACUAUUGAUUGGAAAGCUGUUGCCAAUUUACUUUUAGUAAUGCCACGGUGCAAUUUGCAUUUAUUCAACAGAUCGUAAUGAAGAAAGAAAGCUGGGCGGUUGUGGCUGCCGAAAGCGUAGCUGGGGGGCAAUGGAAGAACAUAGAUUGCUUCCAGUCAAUUAAUAUGCAGUUUGUCCUAAUAAAACAAGGAGUGCAAAAUAAAAGGAGGCACUUCGAGCUUCCACGUUAUUAAGCUUAGUCAACGAGAUUUCCAAAUUUGUUCUCAGAUACUUAUGCUGGUCCAACUGAGACAAAUUUGCGAAAUUACCCCGAGAUAUCCCCGCACACUCGAAUCUGCCAAAAAAAAGGUAGUGCCCUUGAACUCUAUAUAAAUUAUUCAGCAGCUUAAUUUACGUAUAAGGACAUGAGAAUAAAGUUUAAUACUAUAUCAGGUUCUGGGACAUGUGUGUAUGCAGGAGAUGACAGCUAUAAAUCAGAACAAAACUUUGAUUCAAAUACAUUUGCUAACAAAAUUAAUUUGAAGAGGUAUCUGCUGUGGGAAAUUAUAUGAUAGAAACAUGAAUUGUAAAUAUAUUUAAUAUGGGUUUUAACAGUUUUCUUGUGUUUUUGACAGGCACACAUUUUCUUUUAUUUAGAACUAGUGUUCUAACACAGAUGGUAUCAAUGGAUAAUGAGAUGUGCUAACUUCUUUGCAAUCAAAGAUUGUUACGAACGUUUUUGGACAGUGAUCAAAUAAAUUGUAACCUUCGUCUUACGGUGAUAGUGCGCCACCUAAAGGCAUCUUGGCGUAUCACCAGGAUAACAACUUAAAAAGCUUUAAACUUAAACAAUACCUUUUCAUUCUGAAAACGUCAUACAAAUUUCACACUUCGUUAAUUUUCUAAAGGAGCGAUUUUUUGGCAAAAAUAUAAUGUUACUCAAUAAUUCCUUUGCAAGCAGCAGUAUUGUUUCACGGUUAGAUACAUUAAAAACAAAAAAAAACGCACUCACAAAUAAAACUAUACUCCAAAAUUUCAAAGAAACAACGUAACCAAAUAGCUUUACAAGUGACCAUUUCCUGAUUAUUGAUUAACAGGUCAGAACACUGUCGAAUUAAUAACUUAACCUCCGAAAUGAUUUCCAGAUUAACAUACCUGAGUUUUCAGAUUGGUGAUGUUCGAUUUUUUCGGCUUUUUUAAAAAAAAAUAAAAACAUUUAUCAUCAAUCUGAGUCUACUGCACAUUAUGCGCGCUACCAAGGAAAUUACCACCUUGAAUAAAUCAACAAUAUUCCUGAUACAUCGAUCAAUUUCUUGCUGUUUUCUUUUACGGUUGUUUCAUGACUAUUCUAAUAACAGUUCAAGUAUUCCACCUUGUUAUUUUCAUACCUAUAAGAACGAGACUAGUUUCAGUCUGAAAACCGAGCGACCGCAUACCUUCAUUUACUGAAGACACGUCUAUUUCGAUGGGGGAAACAUACAAAUAAAAUCGAUUUGUUGUGAACUUUUAAUGGUAUUUUCUUUUUGCCGUGUACCCCAUGAUAAAAAUAACAAAGGGAUACAAAGGCACGCAAAGGAUUUUUGGAGUCGAGUUUGAUCUGUAUGGCGUGAAUAAAA